CUCUUGAGUGAAUCCUGAGUACGACGGAGCACGUGAAAUUCCGUCGGAAUCUGGGAGGACCAUCUCCUAAGGCUAAAUACUCUCUAGUGACCGAUAGUGAACCAGUACCGUGAGGGAAAGGUGAAAAGCACCCCGGAAGGGGAGUGAAAUAGAACCUGAAACCGUGUGCUUACAAGUAGUCAGAGCCCGUUAAUGGGUGAUGGCGUGCCUUUUGUAGAAUGAACCGGCGAGUUACGAUUUGAUGCAAGGUUAAGCAGUAAAUGUGGAGCCGUAGCGAAAGCGAGUCUGAAUAGGGCGUUUAGUAUUUGGUCGUAGACCCGAAACCAGGUGAUCUACCCUUGGUCAGGUUGAAGUUCAGGUAACACUGAAUGGAGGACCGAACCGACUUACGUUGAAAAGUGAGCGGAUGAACUGAGGGUAGCGGAGAAAUUCCAAUCGAACCUGGAGAUAGCUGGUUCUCUCCGAAAUAGCUUUAGGGCUAGCCUCAAGUGAUGAUUAUU
rnacentral:rRNA from 1 species